GACGAACGCUGGCGGCGUGGAUUAGGCAUGCAAGUCGAACGGUAUCAUCCUUUCGGGGGUGAGAGAGUGGCGAACUGGUGAGUAACACGUAGGUUAUCUACCCUCAAGACGGGGACAACCCAGGGAAACUUGGGCUAAUACCGGAUGUGAGCAACUUUUAGUUGUUUGAAAGGUGGCGUAAGCUGUCGCUUGGGGAUGAGCCUGCGUCCUAUUAGUUAGUUGGUGAGGUAACGGCUCACCUAGGCAAUGAUAGGUAGGCGGCCUUAACGGGUGGUCGCCCACACUGGGAUUGAGAUACGGCCCAGACUCCUACGGGAGGCAGCAGUCGAGAAUAGUCUACAAUGGUCGGAAGACUGAUAGUGCGACGCCGCGUGAACGAUGAAUCCCUUCGGGGUGUAAAGUUCUUUUAUAUGUGAGCAGUGCUUCUUAUAUUAACAGUAUGGGGAGAGAGAUAUUAGCAUAUGAAUAAGCAAACGGCUAAACUCCGUGCCCAGCAGCCGGGUAAU
rnacentral:rRNA from 1 species